UACGUAGGGGGCUAGCGUUGUCCGGAUUUAUUGGGCGUAAAGAGCGCGUAGGCGGCCCGGAAAGUCGGAUGUGAAAACCCGGGGCUCAACCCCGGGCCUGCAUCCGAUACUCCCGGGCUGGAGGCAGGUAGGGGAGAUCGGAAUUCCUGGUGUAGCGGUGAAAUGCGCAGAUAUCAGGAGGAACACCGGUGGCGAAGGCGGAUCUCUGGGCCUGUCCUGACGCUGAGGCGCGAAAGCUAGGGGAGCGAACAGG
rnacentral:rRNA from 1 species